AACGAACGCUGGCGGCAUGCCUAACACAUGCAAGUCGAACGAUGCCUUCGGGCAUAGUGGCGCACGGGUGCGUAACGCGUGGGAAUCUGCCUUUCGGUUCGGAAUAACUCAGGGAAACUUGAGCUAAUACCGGAUAACGUCGCAUGACCAAAGAUUUAUCACCGAAAGAUGAGCCCGCGUAGGAUUAGCUAGUUGGUGAGGUAAAGGCUCACCAAGGCGACGAUCCUUAGCUGGUCUGAGAGGAUGAUCAGCCACACUGGGACUGAGAAACGGCCCAGACUCCUACGGGAGGCAGCAGUGGGUGAUAUUGGACAAUGGGCGAAAGCCUGAUCCAGCACUGCCGCGUGAGUGAUGAAGGCCUUAGGGUUGUAAAGCUCUUUUACCCGGGAAGAUACUGACGGUACCGGGAGAAUAAGCCCCGGCUAACUCCGUG
rnacentral:rRNA from 1 species